UAAUCGCUGUUUUCUUCUCAUACUCGGAAGAGGUAGGUCGCGCGCCACUUCGAUUAACUUGAUGAGGAUAAAUUGGCUAAUGCUGAGCGUUAUUUGAAAAGAUGCUUAUUUAUGACUCAGAUCAUGCAGAUUCUCAAGUUUUCGAUCUACGGUAUGAAGCGAUGCAGCCAACUACCUUCCAUUCCGAAAGGAUUGAUUAACUUUUUAAGGAAGUGGUACGAUUUAGUGGACGUUUAUGAACAGGCUUUAAAGAGGACAUGUCAAAGCUGACUUCUGUAAUAUAACUGGGGGGAAAAGUUAAUUGUUGAUAGUAACAGUAUCAAUGCCAGUUUUAGUGGAAUAUGAACAUCUGUGCCUUUUCCCAUUUCGGUAACUGUCGUAGAAAUCAUUCUCAAAACUGAAACUUAUAAAGAGCUAUUUGAAGAGCAUGAUGGAACGGUAGCGAUUUUCUGAACUAGGAUUCUGUUCGUGGAGAAUGACCCUGCAAGGACGUUCUCAAGAAGAUUACUACUGUACUUUGAAGAGAGCGGGGCAAGAAACAGAGGAUAUGUCUGAAAUGAUUGAGUAGACUGCAUAUUUACUGUUUUAUUCAUGGUGCAUCUUGUUGACAGGUAUGGCAGAUUUACCUUGUUGAGCCACUGCACAAGAAAGAGAAUUUGGUUGAUCAGCAUCAUCAGGCAUUGCACGGAUGUGAAUGUGAUUGGGUGUGCCUUGCAUCGGAUGAUGAAAUAAGGCGUUAUUGCCAGCAUGUUGCUGUAAUGAGAACAGGCCUCCCUGGGUAGAACUGCAUAUAGUGUUUCAUUUAAGCUGGCGUAGUCGGGUGGAACACAGGUGAAAGAGAAACACGAUGUUGAUUCACCUGACUCAACAUUACAUUUCUAAAGCGUUACUCUUAUUUCCUUUAAGGGUGCACCAAUAGGGCUAUUGUUGUGAUUUGUAUUAGAACCGCCAAUGAAAUGUCAGAUGUAAGUACCCAAUGAAUAAUUGACAACUAAAUGUACCAUUUAUGUCAUGCUCCCCU